GUAUUUAGUAUAGAUUCUUUUAAUAAUAUAAUAAUAUUUUAAAUUAAAAAAUAAAGUAAAAAUGGUUAAAAUAUGAACAUUAUUAGCAGCAAAGAACAGUGAAUAUAAGUGUUUUACUGUGACAGUGAAGGUGGAGUUUGGAGUCUAGAGGUUGUUGAGGACGAUGUUGGCGAGAUUCAAACCUUCACAUGUGGUGUCAUCAUCAGAGAUCUUGGAAGAAAAAGACCAAGAGAACCCUGAGGUGGCAGAGAACCCAACGCUCACCCACUCCGGAAGAAGGCUCUCGAGCUCCACUCUCUGAGAGACGAUGUAGUUCGUUGGCUGAGAAGGGUAAACCAGAGAAGCCACCAAGAGCUUCGUGGAGGACUCAUAGGUGAUCUGAACCUCCGCGUUUUCUCCGUUGACCAAUUCCCACGGCGUCGUUUUCAUAGACUCGAUGGAGUUCACGUCGAUGCCAAUAUGACGGCCUUCGGGGUCCCACUCCUGGUUGACGAAGGUGUCGAACUCCACAGCCACAGUAUGGGCUUUGCUGUUGUAUUUGUCGCUGUCGAAAAGACCUAGAAAACCGCCUUGCUUUGUUGGGAACGAGAGCAAAGCCAAGGCCAUCGGCGGCUUUUGCUUUGUUGGGAGCGUGGAUAUUGAAUUUGAAGUUUGUGGUGAAGCUGGCGACUUUUCCGGUGGCGCUGUCUUAGAUUUGGAUGGGGGCGGAGUAGAAGGCGCGGCCCAGAGAGGCCACCGUGGGUUCUCCGUUGCUAUUAACAUUGGUUAGUCGUAACUGGCCGGAGGAUGAGACGGAGGCAUCGCCUUGGAGGAUAAGGUUGGUUUCGUUGAACCUAUCGAAGCUGAAGGAGGUUUCGCUGGCUGAGUUUGCGUGGCUGAGAAGCACAAGGAAGAGGCUAGGUUGAGUAAGUUGGAGGAAGCCAUGUAUGCAUUCAUGCAUUAACCAUCACUCUCUUCUCUAUUUAUACAACAACAAAUGCAAAAUCUUUCCAACUUUUUUAUUUCAUUCUAUUAUUAAAUACGUGUUUUCGAAUGAUUAACUUUUUUCUUUUAUAAUAUUAUUUGAGAGAGAAAUAAGAAUAUUAAAAUAAGAAUUAAGCAACGAUUGAUUUUACAACGAUUCAACGUUUUGCUACGAUUCUUAAUUACAAUGUGUCGAUAACUCUUUUUAAGUAUUUGGGUAUGCUGGUAGGGGGUGUCAUUGGAGAGGUGCUUUUUGAGCGGACAAAAAUUCCAAAAAUCCACCAUUUAUUAUUAAUCUUUUUUAUUAUUUAGGUAUUUUUCAGGUAUUUUAAGGUUUUAGUUCUCACAGUUACCCUAAUUAGAAAAUUCUAAUUUUUUUUUCAUGAUUUUUUAGUUAUAAAUUAGUGAUAUAUCAAAACCCUAUAAAUUAGUGAUAAUUCAUAUUUUUCGUGAAGGGAAUGCGUGUGCUAAUAAGUUGGCUAAUUUAGGAUUUAUUCAUAGAGAAUCAUUUCAUUGGUAUAAUAGACUCCCAGCUAGUCUGUUCUUAGAAUUCUUUAUGAAUAGGUAUAAUCUACCUAUUUAUCGUUUUUGUUAACAUAUGGGUUUUGGUCUAGUCCCGUCAUAUUUUUGUAUUUUCUUUCUUUUUUCUUUUUUUUUAAUAAUAUUUUUUUUAUGUGAUGACAAAUGAUUGUUGUUACUUGAGGUGUCAGCUUAGCUGAGAUGUCAAGUUGCAUAGUGAUGCCUAACACGAAAACUUUAUAUAAAAAAAAACCCUAUGGACAUAUAUAUGUCAGAUUUGUUAGAAUUUGCAUAUGGAGAUCAUUGUAAGAGCAUGACUGGAAGCAAAUAAUAAUAUUUAACUUAUUCUUUAUAAUUUUUUAACACUAAUUAAUGUGAAUCCUUUUUCCCGCCAUAGAAUAUGUGAGAAAUGGGCCACGUAUUUCCUUAAUUUCUAUAACUCUAAGAUAAAUAAUCAAUAAUAUAGGAAUUAGAUAGAUAGAUAGGAAUAUAUAUGUUAUUAGUGUUUGUAAUACAUCUUUAUCAAUGUAUAUAAUUUGAUUAUCUGAAUAUAUGUAUCAGGGCUAACUUAGUUUUAAUUGUACAAGUCAAUUUAGAUAGGAUUAACAUUAAACAGAAUGAACUAAACAAAAAAUUCUCAUUUAAAAUGGCGGCUUUUACCAUAACUGCCAUUUUAUAUCUUUCAAGAAGGUAUAAAUGACGACUUUUUAUCAUAACCGUCAUUUUAUAUCUUUAAGGAGGAUCUAAAACGGUGACUUUUUACCAUAACUGUUGUUUUAUAUCUUUUAAAAAGGUCUAAAACGACGACUUUUACCAUAAUUGCUGUUUUAGACUGAAUAUAACACAACGAUUAUAUAAUCUCUGUCUUUGCUUGAAAAGAAUAGACUAUAUGUUGAAAGACAACGCUACAAGAACCGUUGUUUUAAUACUAAAAUGAUCGUCGUGAUUUAAUUUUUUUCAUCAGUAAUUGUAAAGUUUCUUUUUAGAGUGUUGAUAAACAUAUAUCGAUUUGAAAUGAAUAGAGUUAGAAAGUAAAAAAAAAAUACAAGAAAAAUGUUAAAUAAUGUCAUAGAAAUAGAAAUGGAAGAGAAGUGUAAAGAAAUUUAAAUAAAAAUUAGAUGUGAGAGUAAGUUAGUUUAUAAAUUGAUUUGUUUAAUGAUUUAAUAACUGUAAAAAUCAAAUAAAAGUAAAUUAUAGUAAUAUGUACUAAGAUUUAAUGUAAUUACACCCAUGUUUCCUUUUUUUUUCUCUGUUAUACUUUAACUUAUAAUAAUCCUUUCCAUUAUUAUAAACUUUUUUAAAAUUACAUAUUUUUCAAAUUAUGCACUAAUAAUAUAAUAAUACACAUGCUGAAUAAUACGCAGUGUAAAUAUAUGAGCUCCUAUUUUAUUUAUGCUCCCAUUUGUGACAGAUGAAGAUUAUUAGCAGGAAAGAAGAGUGAGAGUGAGUAUAAGCAGGGUUUUACUGUCACAGUGAAGGUGGUUUUUGGAAUCUAGAGGAUCUUGUUGAGGAGGAUGUUGGCGAGAUUCGAAUCUUCAGAUGUGGUGUGACAGGAGAACUUGGAAGAAAAAGACCAAGAGAGCAGGUCGUGCGUUUCACUGGACACGUUAGAUGACCCUGAGGUGGAAGAGAACCCAACGCUCACAUUUAAUAAUAAUAUUAUGUGAUACCUCACAAUUAUUUAUCUUAUUAAUUGAUCAAUUACCAUAAUUAUCCUAUUAUAUUAUUGGUAAUUACUAUUAUCAUAAAUAAUUAGGGUUUCUUCUUGGGUGUAUUAUAAAUAGAGAUUACCAGACAACUAAAGAGACACUCUUAUAUUCUAACAUCACACGGUCGAAACUCAUUCCCUAAAGGGAUUUUCGAGCCUCUCAUCUCUUUGUCUCUCUGCUCACAUAAUUCCAUUUUAAGCGAUACACUCUAAAGGGAAACCCGAUCAAGAUCAUGUCUUCGUCCCUCAGCCAUGCGAUCACGGGUUUACCAAGUAUUAUCUAAUCAUUAUUCUCGUUUCAUUAUAUGAUUGAGGAAUCCUAAUCCAACAUGUGGUAUCAGAGUCAGGUUUAUGUUGUUUAAUCGAUUCUUCUUUUGUUUUCCCUAAAUUUGGAAGAAACGAGGAUUUUGAUUCAACCUAUUGAUUUUCGAUGUUUUUAUUUUGGUAUAUUAUUGAACCACUUAUUUUCGAAAAUCCACCUUGAUAUCAUAAAAUAAAUUUUAAUUUUUUCGAGAUCCAUAAUUAUUUUAAGAUUUUGAAAAUUAAAAUUUAAUAUUAAUGUUAUGUGUUCUUCAUAAUUUUCGUGAGUAUUCCCUUAUUUGGAAUGGAAUUAAUUUUGAUUAUAUGUUCAUCAUCAUUAUUUGUUGUUCGUAUGAAUUUUUGAAAAUUAUGAAUAAAGAAUUUUCAAAAAUUAAUUAUUCCCUUAAUUAGGAAAUUUUGAAAAUAAUAUUUUUCCUUAAUUCAAAUUUUCGAAAUACAAUUGAUUCCCUUAAUUAGGAAUGGAUUUGAUUUGAUUUGAUUGUGUUUUUCUAAAAAAAUAAAUAAAAAUUGAUAUCUUAGUCUCCACGUUUUUCCUUAUUUAGGAUAGUAUAUUCUUGCCUUAUUAAUUUUCGGGUAUUAUUAUUAUUAUUACUAUUUUCGAAAAUAGCAGUCGUGUCAAACUUGGAAACAUAUCAAUCUAAUUAAAAUUUUGAAGACCAAAUCUAAAAUCAAAUCCUUAAUAUUCCGCUACUCACUUAUCGAGUUUACGAGUAACAUAUUUACGCGUUUCCUUUUAUUUAUCGAAUUAAAUAUGGUAAAUCUCAUGAUACCGUAAUUAUGUUUUAAAAAAAAUACUUAUUUUGUUAAACUCUUAAAACAAAAAUAUUAAGUUUGACAAAAUUAAAAUUAAAUUUUUUGCUUAAACUUAAUAACAGGAGUCUCCCUUCUGUCCAACGAUGAUGGGUUAUGUCUUGUUAUUUUAGUCUAAUUAAGCACCUUCACUUACUUGUGAGUACACUUAAUUAUUAAAUAUUCGCAUGACAUUUGCCUAAAAACACAAUUAUUUCUUAUUUCUAUUCUGUCCAACGAUGUUUGAUGCACUUGUGUUUUGCAAACUUAAUAUGUGCAUAAGCUUAAAUGUUCAAUUCUGUCCAAAGAUGAUGUGUCACAUUCUUAUUGCACAUACCUUACUUAUAAUUGUUCAUUAUUCUUAAAUAAUUGGUAAUUAACCAAAGUGAAAGCUGAUUGUUUAAGUAGAACCUAAUCUAGUCUAUUAUUUUGAUGUUAUAAUAGAUUUUAUCACAGCUUCAUUAUCAUAAUGGUUCUUACUUAUGCCUGCUUUAGAUCUAAGUUUCCAAAUGUCACUCUAACUUUUUCCUUAGCCUAAGUAUCUUAAUUCGUCGUCUAACCAGCCCCUAAUAUGGAAAUUGAGACCUUGACUGGUGAAAAUCAUUCUUCUUGGAAAGAUUCCUUGAUGCUNNNNNNNNNNNNNNNNNNNNNNNNNNNNNNNNNNNNNNNNNNNNNNNNNNNNNNNNNNNNNNNNNNNNNNNNNNNNNNNNNNNNNNNNNNNNNNNNNNNNNNNNNNNNNNNNNNNNNNNNNNNNNNNNNNNNNNNNNNNNNNNNNNNNNNNNCAAUCAUUAGAGGAGGCAUUCCUGAUUCACCUAACGCUAAGGCUUAUCUAGCUUCUGUGGAGGAACAAUUUCAAGGAACCUCUAAGGCUCAUGCUAGUACUCUUAUCUUGAAGUUGGUGACUACAAAAUAUGACGGGCGCACCGGCAUUCGUGAACACAUCCUGAUGAUGAGCGACAUGGCCCGUAAACUUAAGGGAUUAGCCAUGGAGAUCAGUGAAGGUUUCCUAGUCCACUUCAUUAUGACUUCUCUUCCUUCUGCGUUUGAAGCCUUCAAAGUCAACUAUAAUACUCAGAAGGACAAAUGGUCCAUGAGUGAGUUGAUUGCUAUGACUGUUCAAGAAGAAGAGCGCCUGAAGUUGGAGAAACCAGAUGUUGCUUACCUCGUGGCUGCUGAGUCGAAGAAGCGGAAGGGCAAAUUCCAUAAAAAGGAAUCUAAUAAGGUCCCUAAAACUGAUGCAAGUGCACCCUCCAGCUCUAACAAAUUCACUAGCAAGUUCUACUGCAAGUUCUGCCGCAAGGUAGGACAUAAGCAGUCUGAGUGCUCAAGCUUUAAGGAGUGGUUGGCUAAGAAAGGUAAUCAUCUAAAUAUGAUAAUUGAGUCCUUUAAUUUAAAUGUUCCAACUAAUACUUGGUGGUUUGACUCUGGUUCUAUGGUUCAUGUGACCAAUUCAAUCCAGGGAUUCCUUACAAUCCAGAAGCUGGAAAGAAACCAAAGAACACUUAAGAUGGGGAAUGGACAAGAACUAUUUGUCGAAGCUGUCGGAAUCUUAGAAUUACUUAUGAAAACUGGAAAAUGUAUUAAACUUUAUGAUACCUUAUAUAUUCCCGAAAUUACUCAGAAUCUUGUAUUAGGACCAAAGUUAGACAUUGAUGGUUUUUAUGUUUCCCAUGGUCAUGGCAAACUUACUAUUUCUUUAAAUUCUCAAUUGUUUGGUACUGGUUUUCUGGAUAACGGUCUCUAUAAGUUAGAACUAGAUGAUAACUUCUCCAAAUCUUUGUUAUCAUAUAAUAUUAAUGAGAACUUAACAAAGACCAAGAGAAAACGAGACUUAGAAACUUCAUCCAUGUUGUGGCAUCAACGUUUAGGCCACAUUUCACGAGAUCGCUUAUCUCGACUUGUGAAGGAUGAAGUCUUACCAUCUCUCAAUUUCACUGAUUUUGGAACAUGUGUCAAAUGCCUCAAAGGCAAAAUGACAUCCACGACUAAGAAAGGCAAAAUGACAUCCACGACUAAGAAAAAAAAAUACAAGAAAAAUAUUAAAUAAUGUCAUAGAAAUAGAAAUGGAAGAGAAGUGUAAAGAAAUUUAAAUAAAAAUUAGAUGAGAGAGUAAGUUAGUUUAUAUUGAUUUCUUUAGUGAUUUAAUAACUGUAAAUAAGAAAGAGUAAAUUAUAGUAAUAUUUACUAAGAUUCAAUGAAGUUACACCAAUGUUUCCUUUUUUUAAUAUGUUAUACUUUAAUUUAUAAUAAUCCUGUCCAUUACUAUAAAAAUUUUAAAAAUUACAUAUUUUUCAAAUUAUGCACUAAUAACACGCAUAUAUGGUCAAACAGAAUAAACUAAAGCAAAAAAUUCUCAUUUAAAAUAGCGGCUUUUAUCAUAACGGUCGUUCUAUAUCUUUGAAGAUGGUAUAAAAUGAUGAGUUUUUAGCAUAACUGCCAUUUUAUAUCUUUCAGGAGGAUUUAAAACAACGAUUUUUUAGCAUAAUUGUCGUUUUAUAUCUUUAAAAAAUGCCUAAAAUGAAGACUUUUACCAUAAUCGUUAUUUUAGACUGAAUAUAACACGACGAUUAUAUAACCGUUGUCUUUACUUAAAGAGAAUGGACUUCAUGCUGAAAGACAGCGGUAUAAGAAUCGCUCAUUCAUGCUGAAAGACAGCGGUAUAAGAAUUGCUCAUUUAGUGCUGAAAUGACCGUUGUCAUUUAGCUUUUUUGCACCAAUAAUUAUAAAGUUUAUUUUUAGAGUGGUGGUGAUAAACAUAUAUCGAUGUGAGAAUAAGUUAGUUUAUAUUGAUUUGUAUAGUGAUUUAAUAACUGUAAAAGUCGAAUAAGAAAGAGUAAAUUAAAGUAAUAUUUUCUUAUGUUUAAUGUAAUUUAAACCAAUGUUUUUUUUUUCUAUGUUAUACUUUAACUUAUACUAAUCCUUUCCAUUAUUAUAAACUUUUUAAAAAUUACAUAUUUUUUAUUUUUCAAAUUAUGCACUAACAAUACGAAUAUGCAUGGUCAAUAAUACGCAGUGUAAAUUGUGUAAAUAUAUGAGCUCCCAUUUUAUUUAUUUAUUUUAGUUUGUGUGACAAAUGAACAUUAUUAGUAGCAAAGAAGAGUGAAGAGUGACUAUAAGUAGCGUUACCAUGAGACUAUGUUACUAUAUGAGACUAUGAGGUAAUAUGGCCUGAAAAAUGUUGAAGGAACUUGUCAAAGACUCAUAGACAAAGUCUUCAAGGGGAUUGGCCGGAACAUAAGGGAAAUGGUCGGAACGAUUUACGUGGACGACAAACUCAUGUGCCCAACACAUAAAGAUUUGAAAGAACUCUUUGAAGCUAUUAGGCUAUGAUGUUCAGACACUUCUCUUAAAUGAUGUGUCGGUGGUAGAUACUCAUAUCGGACACCGACAUUCGUAUGACACUUGUAGGACACGUAUUCGUGAAAUGUCCAAUUCAAAAAGUAUUUGUUGGAUUUUUGACAAUUUUAAUACAAUUCUAACAGAAUUUUAAAAAGGAAAAAUACAUUAAUUUUCUAAAAACUCAAACUUAUUGUAUAAAUUUUUAUUAUGAUUAUAAAAAUAAGAAACAAAUCAUUUUGAAGUAGUCAUGAAAAACAUUUUUUUCUCUUUUCUCCAAAAAACAAUCUGUAACAUACUUGUGUACAUAAAUCUUUAUUAUCAAUUUAUAUAAUUUAUAAUUAUAUAAUAUAUAGAUUCGUGUUUUCAUAUCCUACAUUUUAAAUAUUUAUUUUAAAUAUUUUCCGUAUCUUUACGUUUGUGUCCUUGUUUUAUCGGUGUCCGUGUUAUACAGCUCUUAAGUGAAUGAACAUGCGGCUAAAUCCUGAAAAGUUUGCGUUCAGGAAUAUAAGUUAUUGGGUUUAGGGUUUAAUCUCGAGAAAUGUAGGGCGAUAGAGAUAACAAGAUGAUCAAAAAUACAAAAAAAAGAAGAAGAGUAAAAUAGAGUAAACUCCAUUAUGUUAUUAUUUUGGAAAACUUUUCUUCAACAGUCCAAAGUUUGGAGUAAAAAACAAGCAUUUGACAGCUCCUUUUAAUAAUAUAAUAAUAUAUGAGCUCCCAUUUUAUUUUCUGUGACAGAGAAACAUUAUUAGCAGGAAAGAACACUGAGUGAAAGCAGUGUUUUAGUGUCACAGGGAAGGUGGAGUUUGGAGUCUAGAGGAUUUGGUUGAGGACCAAGUUGGCGAGAUUCAAAGCUUCAGAUGUGGUGCCAUCGGAGAGCUUGGAAGCAAAAGACCAAGAGAGGACGUCGUUCGUUUCAACGUUCCCUUUAGUAAUCCCAGUGGUGGCAGAGAACCCAACGCUCACCCACUCGGGAAGAACGCUCUUCAGGUCCACUGUGUCAGAGACGGUGAAGCUUGUUUUCAGAGAAGGGUAAACCAGAGAAGCCACCAAGAGCUUCGUGGAGGACUCAUAGGUGAUAUGAACCUCGGCGUUUUCUCCGUUGACAAAAUCCCACCGCGUCGUUUUGAUAGACUUGAUGGAGUUCACGUCGAUGCCAAUAUGACGCUCUCUGGGGUCCCAGUCCUUGUUGUAGAGGGUGUCGAACUCCACAGCCACAGUAUGGAAAUUGCUGUUGCUGCCGUCGAAAAGACCUAGAAAACCGCCUUUGUCUUUGGGCUGAGAGCCCACGGGGACGAGAGCAAAGGCAAGGCCAUCGGCGGGUCCUGCAUUGUUGGGAACCUGUAUAUUGAAUGUGAAGUUGGUGUCGAAGCUGGCGACGUUGCCGGUGGUGUAGUCCCAGAUUUGGAUGGGGGCGGAGUAGAAGGCGCGGCCCAGAGAGCCCACCGUGGGUUCUCCGUUGCUGUUAAC
rnacentral:lncRNA from 1 species